rnacentral:rRNA from 1 species
UACAGAGGGGGCAAGCGUUGUUCGGAAUUACUGGGCGUAAAGGGCGCGUAGGCGGCCUUCUAAGUCGAACGUGAAAUCCCAGGGCUCAACCCUGGAACUGCCUUUGAUACUGGAUGUCUGGAGUUCGGGAGAGGUGAGUGGAAUUCCGAGUGUAGAGGUGAAAUUCGUAGAUAUUCGGAGGAACACCAGAAGCGAAGGCGGCUCACUGGCCCGAUACUGACGCUGAGGCGCGAAAGCGUGGGGAGCAAACGGG